CAGUUCCAGCUGCAGUACAGAGAAGGGACAGGGUGCGAGAAGGUGAAGUCAGGGAGGUCAGUAGGAGACCACUGCCUGUGAAUGGGGGGAGCGGUAAGGUCCUGAACUACAUAAGGCAGGGGCAGUGGGAAUGGAAAAGAGGACUCAGAGGGACCCACUGGUGACCUAAGAUACUGUUAACUGGAGAGCAGAACUAUAGGAGGGGAAAUGUAGGAGGUAGAGAUGACCCUGGUUUGAAAUAUACCAAGAAUGCCAGUUGGGUAUUACAGUACAAUAACAGACCCCAAACAGAGCAGCAAACCACACCACUUUGUUAUGCAGGAGGUAUGACUCGUCCCUCCUCCUCAAUCUCGGGCCUUAGCUGAAAAGACUGGGCUCAGGUGGCUGGGGCUGAAGAGCUGGAGCUGCAGGAGCCACUUCCAAGAUGACUUUUCCACUUGUGUGCCUGGCACCCUGGGGAAGAGUGCAGGCUGGGCUCUUCCAGGACUGCUGGUUGGCAAGACCACAGGGCACAGCAGCCUCAGAGUAGUUGACCUUCUUAAGUGAUGGCCUUGUGUACCAGCCAACAGUGGCCUUUUAUGACCUCUCCUUGGAAGUCUUCUGUCACAACUUCUGCCUUGCUCUGUUGGUCUAAGCAAUCACAAGCUUGCCCAGAUUCACAGAGAGUGGACACAGACUCUACCUCUCAAUAGGAGGAGCAUCAAAAAGCGGAAGCCAUGCUUUAUAACCACCACGAUGAGUGACGUAAUAAAAACUAGAGGACAAAUAUGAUACAGGUACACUCUUCAGAUCCCAGAAACUGACUGAAGAUGAGGCUAAGAAGGAAGGAAGCUUUCUGAUGAACAUGAACACUGCCAUUUCCUGUAUGAUAGUAUCAUUGCUAGUGAUGAAGAAGACUCAGUUCUUCCCACGGCUGCGCAGCUGCUCCCCAAACUGGAGCAUGCGCGGGACCACUCCCGUGCCCACCCACAUUGUGGGAUUAGCUUCCUGGCCAACCUGCUGUGUUUCUGGCGCUGAAGCUGUCCUCCCGGGAGACGCCGCCUGGGCUGCCUCUGUCCUCGCCCACCACCGGCAUGUCUGAAAUUUACUAGAAGCAAGACGUGGACAACUGCAACAGCAGGUGUGAUGCCUGCAGGCACCCAGCCUCCCUGCUGGAAAUCUCCAGACUGCUGCCUUUGCUGUGGAGUGGGGGUGGGGUGU
rnacentral:lncRNA from 1 species